GCGGAGGAAAAGAAACCAACAGGGAUUGCCCUAGUAACGGCGAGUGAAGCGGCAACAGCUCAAAUUUGAAAUCUGGCUCUUUCAGAGUCCGAGUUGUAAUUUGCAGAGGGCGCUUUGGCUUUGGCAGCGGUCCAAGUUCCUUGGAACAGGACGUCACAGAGGGUGAGAAUCCCGUACGUGGUCGCUAGCUAUUGCCGUGUAAAGCCCCUUCGACGAGUCGAGUUGUUUGGGAAUGCAGCUCUAAAUGGGAGGUAAAUUUCUUCUAAAGCUAAAUAUUGGCCAGAGACCGAUAGCGCACAAGUAGAGUGAUCGAAAGAUGAAAAGCACUUUGGAAAGAGAGUCAAACAGCACGUGAAAUUGUUGAAAGGGAAGCGCUUGC
rnacentral:rRNA from 1 species